AGAGUUUGAUCCUGGCUCAGGAUGAACGCUAGCUACAGGCUUAACACAUGCAAGUCGAGGGGCAUCAUGGCGGUUGCUUGCAACCGUCGAUGGCGACCGGCGCACGGGUGAGUAACGCGUAUCCAACCUGGCCGUUGCCACGGCACAGCCCGCCGAAAGGCGGAUUAAUGCGGUAUGAGGCGCUUCGAUGGCAUCAGAAGAGCGCCAAAGCUUCGGCGGCAGCGGAUGGGGAUGCGUCCGAUUAGGCAGCAGGCGGGGCAACGGCCCACCUGGCCGACGAUCGGUAGGGGUCCUGAGAGGGAGGCCCCCCACACUGGGACUGAGACACGGCCCAGACUCCUACGGGAGGCAGCAGUGAGGAAUAUUGGUCAAUGGGCGGAAGCCUGAACCAGCCAAGUAGCGUGCGGGAUGACGGCCCUAUGGGUUGUAAACCGCUUUUUCACGGGGAUAAAGUGCGCCACGUGUGGCGCUUUGCAGGUACCGUGCGAAUAAGGACCGGCUAAUUCCGUGCCAGCAGCCGCGGUAAUACGGAAGGUCCGGGCGUUAUCCGGAAUCAUUGGGUUUAAAGGGAGCGUAGGCCGCAUGUCAAGCGUGCUGUGAAAUCCCGGGGCUCAACCCCGGAAGCGCAGCGCGAACUGGCGUGCUUGAGUUGCAUCGAGGCAGGCGGAAUUCGUGGUGUAGCGGUGAAAUGCUUAGAUAUCACGAAGAACCCCGAUUGCGAAGGCAGCCUGCCAGUUGCACACUGACGCUGAUGCUCGAAGGCGCGGGUAUCGAACAGGAUUAGAUACCCUGGUAGUCCGCGCGGUAAACGAUGGAUGCCCGCCCUUGGGCCGUUAAGGUUCAGGGGCCAAGCGAAAGCGUUAAGCAUCCCACCUGGGGAGUACGCCGGCAACGGUGAAACUCAAAGGAAUUGACGGGGGCCCG
rnacentral:rRNA from 1 species